AUACGUAGGGGACGAGCGUUGUCUGGAAUUACUGGGCGUAAAGGGCGCGCAGGCGGAUAUUUAAGUCAGCUGUUAAAGUCAUGGGCUCAACUCAUGGAUGCGGUUGAAACUGGGUAUCUAGAGUGCUGGAGAGGUAGGCGGAAUUCCCGGUGUAGCGGGGAAAUGCGUAGAUAUCGGGAAGAACACCAGUGGCGAAGGCGGCUUACUGGCCAGCAACUGACGCUGAGGCGCGAAAGCCAGGGGAGCGAACGGGAUUAGAUACCCCGGUAGUCCUGGCCGUAAACGAUGAAUGCUAGGUGUGGGUGUCGAGAGGCAUCCGUGCCGGAGUUAACGCGAUAAGCAUUCCGCCUGGGGAGUACGGUCGCAAGAUUGAAACUCAAAUGAAUUGACGGGG
rnacentral:rRNA from 1 species